rnacentral:tRNA from 1 species
AAGGCUUUAAGUUAAUUUAAACUAAUAGCCUUCAAAGCUAUAAAUAUAAGAUAAUCUUUUAAGCCUUA